rnacentral:rRNA from 1 species
UACGUAGGGGGCUAGCGUUGUCCGGAAUCAUUGGGCGUAAAGCGCGUGUAGGCGGUUCGGUAAGUCCGCUGUGAAAGUCGGGGGCUCAACCCUCGGAUGCCGGUGGAUACUGUCGAGCUUGAGUACGGAAGAGGCGAGUGGAAUUCCUGGUGUAGCGGUGAAAUGCGCAGAUAUCAGGAGGAACACCAAUUGCGAAGGCAGCUCGCUGGGACGUUACUGACGCUGAGGCGCGAAAGCGUGGGGAGCGAACAGG